ensembl:lncRNA
GGAAGAUUUAGGUUGGAUAUCAGGGGGAAGUUCUUUACUAUGAGAGUGGUAAGGUGCUGGAAUAGGCAGCCCAGAGAGGUUGUGGAUGCCCUGUCCCUUCUGGUGUUCAAAACCAGGUUGGAUGGGGCCCUGGGCAGCCUGAUCUAGUAUGAAAUAUGGAGGUUGGUGGCCCUGCAUGUGAUGGGGGGUUGGAGAUUCAUGAUCCUUGAGGUCCCUUCCAACCCUGGCUAUUCCGUGAUACACUGGCACAGUUUGAAGCUGCUAAGGCAGAAGCAAACUCCCUCUAUUCUUUAUUCAGAUAUGGAAAAGUUCAGAGAGAGAGAGUGAUACACAGGAGAGAGCUAUGAUAAAUUAUCUUUAAGUUUGCACUUUCACUCUGCAUGCUGCAUAGCCCUCAGGAGCAUAAGUUAAUGUUCCAGUAAGAUGAAAAAGAGAUAGAGUUUUGGGAGCUGGUGCCACCUAUAUACACACUGAAUAUCAAUGUCAUUUAUUUCACCUGACAUGCUUACACAAAUAUGUUAAACUUCAAGAAAAUUAGCUUUUCAUCUUACUCUAGAAAGUUGAAUUUGAGCUUUGGAAAGAAACCACAGAGCAAUUCUUUAUUUGUUAGAAAGCUUUAGCUGCCUUCUGAAAUAAGGUGCUGCUGAGAAUAGAUGCAUUGAUCAAAGCUGCUCUGAUCAGAGAGACCAAGGGCUUUGUUAUUGGUGUGGGUUUUCUGUUUAUGUUUGUUCUUUUGUUUGUGUCAGCUUGUUACCCUGACUCCUUUACCCUCCCUUCUCUCCCACACAGGCUUGUCUUUUUUUCCUGAUGAGAGCUCACGGAUAUCAGCAGUGAAUGACCUGCAGCUGUGGGGGUAGUACUGUUAAAGGGAAAGUAUUACUACCAGAGACUGAAGAUUUUCUGUUUUUAGUGAAAUGCCAUAGAGCCUUUACCUUCCACCUGGACAGCCACCAAACUGAAAGGACCUUGGGUUUAAUGUCUCAUCUCAAGGAUAUUAUAAUGUGUUGGCCUCAUUAUUCACAGCAGAAAAGGCCUUUGUCAUGGUCAGAUGGCUUUAAUGUGUUUCGUAUGCUACAUAAAUUCAAACUUGAUGGCUCAUUUAUUUGUUGGAUUGCAGCGUUAUUCAACCUAAAUGAAGCCUUGGUAUUUACUAAUAAUUUGGGCUUUGGCUCUUGUUUACUUAAGCAAGUAGUGCCCACUGUCUCCUCUGUUGUCUGUAUUAAGUUGGGGCUCUCUAUAUUCAAGGGAUAUUAUAGAGGGGGACAAAAAAUGCAGAGAAAAUAGCUUUUCAUUUGUGGACAAUUAUUUAUCCAAGCCUUGAAAGAUCAGUAUUCCAGUAUUGCAAUUUCUGACAUCAAUUUUCUCAGGGUCAGAAACAACUUCUCGGGCUUCAACUAAGCCCCAGAAUACCCCCGUGAGGAAGUGAGUCAUCAUUAUCGUCACUUUGAAGAAGGGCUAACUGGAUGUGGUAGGCUGUUAGGUGGCUUAUUCCACGAGAAAUGAAAUUAAAGAGACACUGGCUAAAAUGCACCCAGAAUCCAAACUGGCCUUUUAAUGUCAGGACCAUUUUCUGUUGUGAUGUGACAACAUUCUUUGAUGAAACCACAUGUAGCAGUUAUCUAACUAAAUAAACAAGCCAAAAUACAAAUUUUCA